GUUUAAUACCACUAUUCAAAUUCAGUAAUUUCAACUUUAUAGUUAUUUUUUUCUUUUCUGACAUAAUCUGUUUGAUUUCAGAAACAACCUCAAUUAACAAUGAUAACAUUUCAGUUUUCUUUAAGGCAACUAAGGUUUCUAGUCCAUGCUGAAAAAUCAAAACAUACUUGAGUUAAUUAUUUUGCCAUUUGUGCAUAUACCAAAAAGAGAAAAUUAUCUCUAAUUGUUGAAAAUCAUUAAUAUAAAUUGUCACAACUCAACUAUUGUAAAGUGCUCUGCACAGGGCUGUACUUGAAGAUCACAUAGAAGCAGGAGAUCCUAUACCAUUUCAGCCAAGUAGCUGCCCAGUCUCUUGUUAAAGACCUCCAGUGAUGAAGCAUCAACAACUUUUGAAGUCAAAUGGUUCCACUGGUUAAUUGUCCUCACUGUUAGAAAGUUUCUCCUUAAUUCCAGGUUGCUUCUCUCCUUGAUUAGUUUCCAUCCAUUGUUUCUUGUCCUGCUUGGGGCGUCGGCAUGAUAUUCAUGAUGCUUGUUAUGACCUAUAAAGCCUUACAUGGUAUAGGGCCCUUGAGGAGCUGCCUGUCUCCCAUACUGUUUGUCCAGCCAAUUCAAGCCAAGAGGCCAGCUUUAAUCCACUCUACAAAUACUAAUACUACUUUGGUUUCCUUUUAAUUACUUUGCUUUUCCCCCCUCAAUUAAGUUCCAACAGUUGUACCACAAACUGAAGAAAAUUUCCAGCCAUUACACAUCCUUUGUUCUGCUGUGUCAGUCCUUGGCAUCCUUUUCCUACUGUCUAUAGUCAUUGGAAUUUUUUGCUACAAGAAGCGUCGACGUGACAACAGAGCAGCAACAAAGAGUAACCCCAAUUCCAGCUUGGAUAAUGCUGAAAAAUGCCCACUGAAAGAGAUAGAAGGAGUUCCACCACUCAACAACACUGCUGGUGAAGAGCGCACGGGAGACAUCCCAACUUCUCAGGACAUCAGAGAGGGAAAAACAACCUCCUGAGAACCACCAAAUCAACAUCUACCUCUCAAAAUGGAUCAAAUUUGAUGUUGUUUGAGAAGCACUCCAAAGGAAGAUUGAGUGCUAAAAUGGACUCAGACAGCCACAAGGUGGUAGAGGAAAAAAAAAGCAUUUCAGAAGAAAUUCCCCUAAGGGACAAACUUUUUGUUUCAGAAUCUGUUAGGCUGGCGGUCCUACUGUGUAAGGCAGAUCCUAAAGUAUCAUGCAUUUAUUUCCAGGUGGAGCUUCAAGGACUAGAUGAAAGCUACUUAUGGUAAUUUUAAAUCUUCUAGCUGAAGAUAGGAUGUUGAAAUUUGAUCUGGUAGCCGAUACUGGUGAAUUACAAAGCCUAAGGUGGCUAUUUCUCUCUGAAGGCUUUCAACUAAUAGACCAGUUCUCCAGAAAAGGAGGAUUAUCCAUAUGUGCUCCAGACUGCGAUUCCAUACAAAGAAAUCACAGGAUAGCUGUUUUCCAUGGUUUGAAUGCCAGGAGGCAAAGAUGAUUACCGGUAAUCAUCAAGCUCACGUGCCCCCUCUACAGGCAAAAUCAGGAAGGUGUUUGUUCGGAGCUAAACUUGUCAGUUUCGGCUUACCUAAUUAAGUUGCUUAUUUGGAGUCUCUUUGCUUAUAAAUAGAUUGGCCCAGUCUUUUUGAAUGGGUACAAAAUCUCCAUUUGUAAAGAUUUCAGGCUUCUGCUUGAAGCCGUUUUCCUGUAGCAGGAAGACUGGGGCUGCUUUCUGCCCUUUAAGAACACGUU